GCGAAGUUGAAAUGUUUGUGAUGAUGCAAUCUACCCGCGGCUAGACGGAAAGACCCCAUGAACCUUUACUGUAGCUUUGCAUUGGACUUUGAAUCAAUCUGUGUAGGAUAGGUGGGAGGCUUUGAAGUGGGGACGCCAGUUCUCAUGGAGCCAUCCUUGAAAUACCACCCUGGUUCAUUUGAGGUUCUAACCUUGGCCCGUUAUCCGGGUCGGGGACAGUGCAUGGUAGGCAGUUUGACUGGGGCGGUCUCCUCCUAAAGUGUAACGGAGGA
rnacentral:rRNA from 1 species